CACGGCUCUUCUCAAUGCUGUGGAACGCGCCGUUCACUUGCAUGGGCCUUCACAACUUCCGGCGGUGAAUUAUGUAACAGAUAAAUGUAUAGAACGCCGGUCAUUAUCGGGAAAAUAGAGAAGCCCCUGACUGCAGCCCGCAGACGGAGCCCACAUGGAGGGGGCGGGCACUCAGUCCACAUGGAGGGGGCCGGCCCUCCGCCCACAUGGAGGGGGCGGGCACUCAGUCCACAUGGAGGGGGCCGGCACUCCGCCCACAUGGAGGGGGCGGAUACUCAUGCUGCGUUCGAGUAUUCUCUGCGAACCGACUCGGAUCUCGGAUCUGACGCCACGCCCGUCCACAUCGAGGGGGCGGCCACUCAGUUCACAUUGAGGACUGGUCAAACAGCAUGUGCAGCAUCUGAUCCCGUUUCUGACCUGAAAUUACCUGAAAUUAGAGUGUGCCCGCCCGAGCUAGUGAUGCCUAAAACAUGCAAAGACACGUCAGUGUAAUUGUGAAUGGCGAGAGCCCUGAAAUACAGCUGGACAGCAGCGGUCUACAUCACUGCCCCUUCUUCAGAUACAAAGGGUCAAAAUGUGAUAUCGACCAUCACAUUAAAUGCCAUGCCUCGGUUAAAUACAGAGGUACAUUUUCUUAUUUUUUUAUUAUUAUUAUUUAUAUUAUUAUUGUUAUUAUAUAUUUGUAUGUAUGUAAUGUAUGCUGUUUAUUCACCAAGGUCUGCAGAGGAGCUUUCAGGAAGCAGGAAGAGAAGACGGGAGGAAAAAAAGCUACAGGUACGUGUCAUAUACUGUAAUGUGUGAUGUUGUCUUAGAGCAAUUGUGAAAGACUAUAGUCUUACCACCCUCCCACCACUAAUACAUUUCAGGAUAAAGAUCUCUGCACAAAAAGGGCUAGAGUUGCUCCAACAGCAUCCAGCUCUGAAGGAUCAGGUCAUGUAUAGACUGUUAAUCCUGGUGAAUCCAUGUAGGCCUACACAUAUUCAGAGUGUUUGUGAGAUAUGAUUGAUUCUAUUUGGCUUCUACUUCCAAAUUAAGUUGUACACAUAUCUCCAUCAAUAUACAAGUUAUAGCCUACUCCAUGGCUGAUCUAUUGCGCAUACUAGGGCCUACUUUUAUUAUUCCAUUGUAUUGGCCUACUCAACAUUACAGACAACAAUCUGUUUUAUUUCCAGACAAAACUGAAGACCAGGAACUGGAACCUGGGAACCUAGUAUAUAAUAUGUGUGUAAUGUUGGAGGUUGUUUGUAUAGCCAGAUGAAAUAGUCUGAUGACUAGUUGAAUAGUGUUUUUUAUCACUGAAAACUCAUCAGUAGUAGUAGCCUUUGUUUGCAUACCAUUUUGUGGUUUUGGGAGGGUAGGGUGUCAAGUACAAACACAAAUAUUUUUUCUUUCUUCUUCAAGGAAGAUUAUGUUGUCCUGAAGGACACAAUUCAGGCAGCAGCAUGGUGCCACUUACAGUCCUUCAAGGACAGCGUUUCUCUCCCAGAGGUCAUUGGGAUGGAAGGUUGGGAGCAGAUGGCAGCAUCAACACAGCGCAAAUCCCAUGACGGCGGGGAUGAGGAAGAAACGUGGAAACCAUUCCAAUUCUCAUUCAGAUUACAUACUGACUAUGAACUGUUCUGUGUGGAGAUGAUGGACAGGAGAAACCUGAAGGUGUUUGCCUCUUUUGAGUCAAACACCUCUCCCCCUCCCCGUCCCCCUCCCCGUGACGCCUGCGCCACACGACUCCAAUGUAGUCUGAUGAUGCAGCAUAAUGGCGGCGCUUGGCAGCUAUGGCGGCGGUGACGGCGAUGUCGGGCGACAGAGCGUGAAGCAAGAGUGGCAUCCACCUCACUGAGGAAGGCGUCAGUGUGUUCCCCCUUUGUUGUUUGACUUUGUUUGUUCUACUCUUUAUUGAUUUAUCUUUUAUGUUAAUAGUUUACAAUCUAUUUUUUGUAGUUGUUAUUUUUUAAUUGUUUUGUUGAAUAAAAAGACAGUUGUUAGUGCUCCUGUGAUUGGUGUAACUUAAUGUGCUUCACACAUGUAGCUUUGCAUUAUGUCUAUUGAGGUACAUUUUUUGCCCUUAGAUGUGGUCACUUCGUUAUUCCUCGCAUUACAUCUGUUAAGGUCAUACCUUUGGGUCCCAGUCUUCAUAGUUCCCCAAAUCUUAUUUUGGCUCUUACUGGGCCUGUAACUCACAGACAGACGGGUACAGGAGUUCGGACACGUUGCAUUGUUUACAGGCAAGGGUGGAUUACCGCACGGGCACACCGGGCACAUGUCCAGGGGCCCAAGGGCGGCCCUAAGCCAGAGCUUCUGUGUGAAGUCGCUGUUAGUAACUUUUAAUGUUGCAUUGUCAAAGCAACAUUCAGUAGAGAAAUACAAAAAUUCAAGCGAAAACGGCAAUAGUAGGGCUAUUAAUACUGAGUAAAAAAAAAAAAAGAUCACUAGGGGGCACUAUUUCACUUAGUGAAUUUGAGACAGGUCACGAACAACGCACUGUGAUUUAAACAUUGAGCAACGGCGAACGGUAGUAACGUGAACUCUUAAGUGGAACCUUAAUAGGUCCAUGAGUGGAACAGUUAAGCGAAAAAAAAAUAACCAAGAGAAUAUGUAUUUGCAAGUCGUUUAGGCUAUGCUUAACUUUAUAAUAGUUCCAUGGUACGCAGCAAGAAAGAUACCAAGUCACAAUACUCCCGUACCAUCUGUUUGUAUAGUUUAAUUAACAGCAUGGGCUCCCGCUAGCUUAACAUAGUAUUACCGUUUCUUGCAUUAACAAGAGCAGCAGAAAUCUGCUCAAUCGUCAGUGGUCGGACUGCCCGCCCCCUCCAUGUGGACUGAGUGCCCGCCCCCUCCAUGUGGGCGGAGGGCCGGCCCCCUCCAUGUGGACUGAGUGCCCGCCCCCUCCAUGUGGGCUCCGUCUGCGGGCUGCAGUCAGGGGUACUUGGGGAAAAUAAGCCCAGACAGGACGAACAGGACACCGAUGCGCAGCGGAGGUGUCUUGCUUCGCCCUGAAGGGGCUUAUUUUCGAUAAUGACCGGCGACGUUC
ensembl:lncRNA